AUCUCCUAGCUAACCAUAAGAAAGG
rnacentral:antisense_RNA from 1 species